rnacentral:tRNA from 1 species
GCCGGAGUGGCGGAACAGGCAGACGCGCGGGACUCAAAAUCCCGUGGGGGCAACCCCGUGCGGGUUCGAAGCCCGCCUCCGGCACCA